GUCAAGUGAAUAAGCGUACGUGGUGGAUGCCUUGGCAGCUAGAGGCGAUGAAGGACGUUGUAGACUGCGAUAAGCGUCGGGGAGAGGUCAAACACUCUUUGAUCCGGCGAUUUCCGAAUGGGGAAACCCACCUCGCAAGAGGUAUUUCAUGGUGAAUACAUAGCCAUGAAAGGCGAACGCGGAGAACUGAAACAUCUAAGUACCCGCAGGAAAAGAAAUCAAACGAGAUUCCCCAAGUAGCGGCGAGCGAACGGGGAUUAGCCCUUAAGUUACAGUGGAUUUAGCAGAACAUUCUGGAAAGUUUGGCGAUAGAGGGUGAUAGCCCCGUAUGCGAAAGGCCUGUUGUGAUGAAAUCGAGUAGGUCGGGACACGUGAAAUCCUGACUGAAUAUGGGGGGACCAUCCUCCAAGGC
rnacentral:rRNA from 1 species